rnacentral:rRNA from 1 species
GACGUAAUAUGCAAGCGUUAUUCGGAAUUACUGGGCGUAAAGGGUGCGUAGGCGGUCAAAUAAGUCGGAUGUGAAAUCCUACGGCUCAACCGUAGAAUUGCGUUCGAAACUGCUUGACUAGAAUCAGAGAAGGGAAGGCGGAAUUCCUGGUGUAGGAGUGAAAUCUAUAGAUAUCAGGAAGAACACCGGUGGCGAAGGCGGCCUUCUGGCUUAUGAUUGACGCUGAGGCACGAAAGUGUGGGGAG